CUGGAAUGUUAUCAGUUAUCUUUUCCUGCUAUUUUAAAGCAUGAUUGAGCAGCUUGAUAGGGAGCCAUGAAACGGCCACCACAACCAAAGAAGGCAGCAGGCGCGUAACUUAUCCACUCCUAAAAAGAUGAGAUAAUGAAUAAAAAUAAACCAUUUCUGUGGGAUAGUCACUUCAAUGAGCUAAACCUGAACCUUCCUCCAAGAGAUAAGCCGAAGGCGGGUCUGGCAUCAGCAGCCGUGGUAAUUCCAGCUCCACUAGUGCGAAUCGUCAUUGGUGUGGUUAUAAAGCUCCUCGUUGGAUCUGACUCACAUGCAUUGGCUCACCUUUUACGUUGUUAGCUGUUGCAACUACUUGCUGAGUUUCUACUAAAGUUUCGGCUUCUUUAGCUAGCGAGCUUACUUUGAAUAAUAUAGAGUGCUCAGAAUAAGCGUCUGUUCAGAUGCUUGAUCAUGAAAUGAUAAAGGAGGACUUCGGUUCUAUUCAUUGUUUGAGGAGCUAAAAUAAUGGUCUACGACUGGGACGAUUCGGGUGUGUUCCUAUCCCUGUACGAGAGGUGAAAUUCGUAGACCACAAGGAGACACUCUAAAGCGAAAGCAUUUGCCAAGAAUAUCUUCCUUAGUUAUGAGUGAAAGUCAUAGGUUCGAAGGCGAUUAGAUACCGCCCCAGUUCUGACCGUAAACUAUGCCAUCUUGCGAUCCGAUGGGAUAUUGUUGCCUUGUCCUGGAACUUCCCGUAAACAAAAUCUUUCAGUUAUU
rnacentral:ncRNA from 1 species